CUAAGAGAUNAGGAGUUNCCUUCGGGGACGCUAAGACAGGUGGUGCAUGGCUGUCGUCAGCUCGUGUCGUGAGAUGUUGGGUUAAGUCCCGCAACGAGCGCAACCCUUGUUAUUAGUUGCCAGCAUUAAGUUGGGCACUCUAAUGAGACUGCCGGUGACAAACCGGAGGAAGGUGGGGAUGACGUCAAGUCAUCAUGCCCCUUAUGACCUGGGCUACACACGUGCUACAAUGGGCAGUACAACGAGAAGCGAGCCUGCGAAGGCAAGCGAAUCUCUGAAAGCUGUUCUCAGUUCGGACUGCAGUCUGCAACUCGACUGCACGAAGCUGGAAUCGCUAGUAAUCGCG
rnacentral:rRNA from 1 species